GAGUUUGAUCCUGGCUCAGGAUGAACGCUGGCGGCGUGCUUAACACAUGCAAGUCGAACGAAGCACUUGAGAUUGAAUCUUCGGAUGAGAACUCUUGUGACUGAGUGGCGGACGGGUGAGUAACGCGUGGGUAACCUACCUCAUACAGGGGGAUAACAGUUGGAAACGACCGCUAAUACCGCAUAACCCGCUAGUAUCGCAUGAUACGGACGGAAAAGAUUUAUCGGUAUGAGAUGGACCCGCGUCUGACUAGCCAGUUGGCAGGGUAACGGCCUACCAAAGCAACGAUCAGUAGCCGGCCUGAGAGGGUGAACGGCCACAUUGGGACUGAGACACGGCCCAAACUCCUACGGGAGGCAGCAGUGGGGAAUAUUGCACAAUGGGGGAAACCCUGAUGCAGCGACGCCGCGUGAGUGAGGAAGUAUUUCGGUAUGUAAAGCUCUAUCAGCAGGGAAGAAAAUGACGGUACCUGACUAAGAAGCCCCGGCUAACUACGUGCCAGCAGCCGCGGUAAUACGUAGGGGG
rnacentral:rRNA from 1 species